rnacentral:tRNA from 1 species
AAAAAGAUAAGCUAACUAAGCUAAUAGGUUCAUACCCUAUAUAUAGGGGUAUAACCCCCUUCUUUUUA